GUCUAAAUGAAAUCUUAUGGGAACUUGAUGAAACCCGAUUCAAGAAGAUCACACGUAUCACUUGGAAAACUUUCGGUGCUAUUCUGGAUCUAAUAAAGGGAGACAAUCUUUUCAACAAAGUUCGGUCGGGCAAACAAUUUCCAAUUAAAACGCAACUGGCAAUUGAGUUGUAUCGCUUAGGUUCUAGCGGUGAAGGAGCUACUCUUUCGAAGAUUGCUACAUUUGGAAUCAGUGGUGGUAUCAUUCAGAAUUUAACUGAACGCAUAUUUAAUGCGCUGUUGAAAUAUAAAGACCAGUACUUAUUUUGGCCAAAUACGGAAGAAGCGCACUUUUCACGAAAACAUAUUUACUCCGUUAAGGCACAAGCCGUGUGCGAUCAUAGAUUACAAAUAGGGCACUUGAUGUUAGCCUUUCCAGGUAGCGUUCAUGACGCACGAGUUAACAAACUGUUGUUUAUGGCGAGUAAAAUAAAUUAUAUUUAUUUGGCCAGUGCA